AGUCACUGACAUUAGAUACCCGGUAGUCCAGGGUGUAAACGCUGCGGGCUUGGUGUUGGGGGUCCUUUGAGGGCGCCCAGUGCCGGAGAGAAGUUGUUAAGCCUGCUGCUUGGGGAGUACGUCCGCAAGGAUGAAACUUAAAGGAAUUGGCGGGGGAGCACCGCAACGGGAGGAGCGUGCGGUUCAAUUGGAUUCAACGCCGGACAACUCACCAGGAGCGACGGUUACAUGAAGGCCAGGCUGAUGACCUUGCCUGAUUUUCCG
rnacentral:rRNA from 1 species